CUCAUCUCUGACAAAAAAGAGCACCAACGUCCAACAACUAACUCUUUUCUUCAUCUUCUCAUCCAGGUUGUUCUCUCUGCAUUUCCAACAGCAACUUCUUGUUUCUCUCUGUCUCCCUCUCCCUCUCCCUCUCAGGAGGCUUCUGAUAUUUUUAUCAUACUACAUAUCCACAAAUUUCCUGAAGUUACUACAUUCUUGCCUUGCUCAACCAGUUCAAGCAAGUAAAGACACUUAUUAAGACCAAGAUAGUUAUCAUGACAUUGUGAGCCCGUGAAUAAGACUGG